GUCCUUAGUUACCAGCACGUUAUGUGGGCGACUCUAAGGAGACUGCCGGUGACAAACCGGAGGAAGGUGGGGAUGACGUCAAGUCAUCAUGGCCCUUACGGCCUGGGCUACACACGUGCUACAAUGGUCGGUACAAAGGGUUGCCAAGCCGCGAGGUGGAGCUAAUCCCAUAAAACCGAUCGUAGUCCGGAUCGCAGUCUGCAACUCGACUGCGUGAAGUCGGAAUCGCUAGUAAUCGUGAAUCAGAAUGUCACGGUGAAUACGUUCCCGGGCCUU
rnacentral:rRNA from 1 species